rnacentral:rRNA from 1 species
CAGUGAGGAAUAUUGGUCAAUGGGCGAGAGCCUGAACCAGCCAAGUCGCGUGAAGGAAGAAGGUCCUAUGGAUUGUAAACUUCUUUUGUAAGGGAAUAAAAACAGCUACGUGUAGUCUAUUGUAGGUACUUUACGAAUAAGGAUCGGCUAACUCCGUGCCAGCAGCCGCGGUAAUACGGAGGAUCCAAGCGUUAUCCGGAUUUAUUGGGUUUAAAGGGUGCGUAGGCGGACUUUUAAGUCAGUGGUGAAAGUUUGCGGCUCAACCGUAAAAUUGCCAUUGAAACUGAGGGUCUUGAGUGUAAAUGAGGUAGGCGGAAUGUGUUGUGUAGCGGUGAAAUGCUUAGAUAUAACACAGAACACCAAUUGCGAAGGCAGCUUACUGAGAUAUAACUGACGCUGAGGCACGAAAGCGUGGGGAUCAAACAGGAUUAGAUACCCUGGUAGUCCACGCAGUAAACGAUGAUUACUAGCUGUAUGCGAUACACUGUCAUGUGCUAAGCGAAAGCGUUAAGAU